AUCACCACCGCCAAGAUGCUAGGGAAAGGAUUCAGUGUUCAGAAUCGGCAUCACCUGCUUCAGGACUGGCCCGUAAGUGUCGACAGAAAGGUUGAAAGCGUUAAAGUUCCUCGUAAUUUUCGCUUGUUGGAAGAACUUGAAGAAGGACAAAAAGGAGUAGGCGAUGGUACGGUUAGCUGGGGCCUGGAAGAUGAUGAAGAUAUGACACUUACAAGGUGGACAGGCAUGAUUAUUGGGCCACCAAGGACAAAUUAUGAAAACAGAAUAUAUAGCCUGAAAGUAGAAUGUGGACCUAAAUACCCAGAAGCACCUCCAUCAGUUAGAUUUGUAACCAAAAUUAAUAUGAAUGGAGUAAAUAAUUCCAGUGGAAUGGUGGAUGCACGGAGCAUACCAGUGUUAGCAAAAUGGCAGAACUCAUACAGCAUUAAAGUUGUACUUCAAGAGCUAAGACGUCUAAUGAUGUCCAAAGAAAAUAUGAAGCUUCCACAGCCACCAGAAGGACAAACAUACAACAAUUAAUUUUAGUGGAUUUAAAACUUGUCUUAAAUCAACAACCUUCUAUUCAUGUUAAUGUCUUGAUUAAAUAUCACAAUGCAAAAUACCCACACAUUAAGUAAGAUAAUUCCAGCUGGUAAACAUGACCUGGACAUCUGUAAGAGUAUAUUUAAUAUAUGUACACCCAUUAUGUUUUCAGGUAACAGGAGGAAAAUUCAGCACAGUUUUUUUUCUUGUUAAGGCACCGUCAUUUAAGCAUGAACCUGGAGUACUCAGAGUGGAACUCAGGUUUCCAGGUGGAAGAACAGCAAGAAGUGUCAGAUGGCUGUGCAAGCAGAUGUGUUUCUGAAGAGAAAGCCCGAGAAGGAAAACCCAGAAUGGCGUGCUCUCGCUUAGUGAAAGAGCUUCCGUUGAAAUGAUCUAAAGUGGCAGUGGUGGGCUGAGAGCCUGGGCACCUUGACCUCUGGUCCACUCUCCUUUCCCCGCACCCGCUGUUGUGAAGGACUCCCCCCCACAGGUGUGUGUUGCCUUCGAAAUUUGGUUGAAAGGCUAGCAGGUGAGACUGUAGGGGAUGAUCAUGUGUUAAUAAAGAUUGCAAAAGUAAAAUAUUUGUCCUGUUAGGUCAGUGUUAUGCUUUAAUGGUUUUAAUUACUAAUUUUCAGAAUCCCUCAUUUAAAAAUAUUUUUUCUAGUAUUUUAAAGUAAUGGCAUUUGUUGUUACAGGUUUAUGUGUGACUUUUCAGGAUUUUGGAACAUAAACAUUUAUAAGAGGUGGUCAAUGGUAUUUGAGUUUUUUGGGUGUAAAAUUUUUUUAAAAAUUAUAAUUUUAAAUUAUCUUUUUAAAAGAAUUUAUCACACUUCAAAUUUGAGUAAGUGCCUGGGGAGUGAAUUAGUUUGAAUUGCAUAUGGUUUAUUAGUCUGGAUUACUUAAUGCCAAUUCAUUAAUUUAGCUUCUUCCCACUAAGUAUAUAUUGUUAUUGAUGAAUAUGCAUGAAAUUCAUAUUGUUUUGAAAAUUUAGAGUACAUGGCUGGAAAAUAUCAAUGUGUUUCCCACCCUGGAUUUGGUGUGAGACCAUGUGGGCGGCUCUGGAAGACGCAUCGUGAGGUAUAGACUUUGGUCAAAGCUGUGCUCACUCUUCUCGUGGGUACACAGCCGUGCUUGCAUGUACACGUUAAAGAGUGUAAAUGCAGAUGAUGCUGUCUAGUGUCAUGAAUAACAAUUUGGGGAGUUAUUUAAGGAAUUUUUUCCCCCAGAUUUUCUCGGUAAGUAUAUUUUUUAGACAUAUAUGUGAAGCAUUAUAGUAUAAUUAAUUGCUGGGAAGGAUCUAAAAGGCACUGAUUUCACUUUUCUGAGAAGUAACAAUAUGAUUUUCCAGUAACAACUUGAUUGGCUUUUGGUUGUGUUCACAAAAAGAUUGCAGCUCCGAAGAUUUUGGAAAGCAUUUGUAUUUUGUAUAUAAAACAGAAACAUUAUGAAAAGCAGUGGAUGCAGCGUAUUACAGGCUUGAUAGGAGCGUUAGCAGUUAAUUCCUACCCAGUACUGUGUUUAUUGACAAGCAAAAUGUAUGGAAAUAGAAUAUCUUUUAUGCUAAAAUUAAUAUGCCUCUUUGAAGUUACUAAACAGUAGAUGGAAAUCUUAUCAUAGGUCAUACUGAAAAUGUUGGCUAUUUUAAAAGUAUAGUGGAAUACUGAAAAGAUACACCAUAAGUAUUUUCUGAAGGGAAAAUUAUCGAGGUAUUUGCUGACACAGAAAAUAAAUGACAAGUCAAAACUGUCAUCCUGUGAAAUAAGGGAGUUUGAGGGAAUCAUGGAGUGAGUACGUGAUUUUAAAGAAUCACUGGAUGUGAAGAGGUUGCCCAUUGUGUUUACGUACAUCUCUAAUGGGACAUUCUCACCUAAAAAAUUCCUAAAGGUCCUCUGCAUUUCAUUUUUACAUGUAAUCUAAAGAUCAGUACAGAAUUUUUUCUGCAACUUCAUUUAUGAAAUCAGUGAUAAAAUCCAGAUAGAUUUCACUUUCUUAACUUAGAAACAUUCCAGGAAUCAUCCUUUCUCCAGUGGGUAGCUGACCAGAUACCAUGUAAGGAUUGUGCAGUGGCCCCUCUGCUCCAGAUGUAGACUUACCAUGUGAAUUCUUUUAUCUUGUCUUAGUUGAGUACUGAGCAGCUGCUUACAUCUGUCUGAGAUUUUGGCAGCCAAAAGAUUAUACAAAAGUAAAGGUAAUAUUCCACCUCCAAAGGAAGACUAAUCUCUGGCACUGAGAAACCAAUGAAGUGAGAAACCCCGUGGUCAGUAAAGAAGCAAAUCUUUGAAUUCAUUGAGAGUGAAAACUGUUCCUUGUUUGUUCAGUGCAGUUGAGUAAUUAAAAUAUUGUUCAGAGAUUAUGGGGAAACAUUAAACAAUGGAGUGUGUGUAUUCUUCCUUCAUCUGAUAUAAUAGCUUUUUUUUUUUAAACAGGCUUUUAACAAUAGAUAAUUUUACAGAGUAAUCUGGAAAAUUAACAGUGUAAUGUAAAGUGAGGUUUCGACAGGACACCUACAUUAAAAUGUAGUAAGAUUAGUUAUAAUACUUAAUGUCAUGUUUUUUGGGUCCAAAGACUCUUCCAAUCAACAAGCAUGGUAAUUGUGAGUGCUUUAUUACACAGGGUGAGACUUUAUAGCCUUUGUAGUUUGUCAGCCCUUAAUUUGAGGGAAAAAGGUAGAUUUUCUCCACAGUGGAUAACUGACAAAGAGAAAUGUAUUGUUUUACUGCUUCUCAAGCCACAUUGUCCAAAUAAGUAGUGAUUGCCAGAUGUCCAGAUGAUAUCCACUAUCAUAAAUUAUCUUUUUAUUGCUGUAAUUUAAAAAAUCAUCUUAAUACUCAAGUAAAAGUAAUUGAGUUCACAAGAAAAGUAAAAUAUCUAAUUGCCUGGGUUUCUUAAUCUUGAGUAACAUACGGACUUCUUUAAGGAGAACAGUAAUUCUUUUGGACUCAGUAUUGUCUUGAAUUAUUUUUGUUAAAACAUUGUUUAAUGCAUACAAUUGUAUCAAUGCAAAUGUAUAAACUUCUUAGUCCUAUAAGAUUAUAAAGCAAAUUAACCCAAUUACAUAGUAAUUAAAAUGUAAAAGACUUUAAUAUU